UUGUCUCUCUUGAGUGGAUCCUGAGUACGACGGAGCACGUGAAAUUCCGUCGGAAUCUGGGAGGACCAUCUCCUAAGGCUAAAUACUCUCUAGUGACCGAUAGUGAACCAGUACCGUGAGGGAAAGGUGAAAAGCACCCCGGAAGGGGAGUGAAAUAGAACCUGAAACCGUGUGCUUACAAGUAGUCAGAGCCCGUUAAUGGGUGAUGGCGUGCCUUUUGUAGAAUGAACCGGCGAGUUACGAUUUGAUGCAAGGUUAAGCAGUAAAUGUGGAGCCGUAGCGAAAGCGAGUCUGAAUAGGGCGUUUAGUAUUUGGUCGUAGACCCGAAACCAGGUGAUCUACCCUUGGUCAGGUUGAAGUUCAGGUAACACUGAAUGGAGGACCGAACCGACUUACGUUGAAAAGUGAGCGGAUGAACUGAGGGUAGCGGAGAAAUUCCAAUCGAACCUGGAGAUAGCUGGUUCUCUCCGAAAUAGCUUUAGGGCUAGCCUCAAGUGAUGAUUAUUGGAGGUAGAGCACUGUUUGGACGAGGGGCCCCUCUCGGGUUACCGAAUUCAGACAAACUCCGAAUGCCAAUUAAUUUAACUUGGGAGUCAGAACAUGGGUGAUAAGGUCCGUGUUCGAAAGGGAAACAGCCCAGACCACCAGCUAAGGUCCCAAAAUAUAUGUUAAGUGGAAAAGGAUGUGGCGUUGCCCAGACAACUAGGAUGUUGGCUUAGAAGCAGCCAUCAUUUAAAGAGUGCGUAAUAGCUCACUAGUCGAGUGACACUGCGCCGAAAAUGUACCGGGGCUAAACAUAUUACCGAAGCUGUGGAUUGUCCUUUGGACAAUGGUAGGAGAGCGUUCUAAGGGCGUUGAAGCAUGAUCGUAAGGACAUGUGGAGCGCUUAGAAGUGAGAAUGCCGGUGUGAGUAGCGAAAGACGGGUGAGAAUCCCGUCCACCGAUUGACUAAGGUUUCCAGAGGAAGGCUCGUCCGCUCUGGGUUAGUCGGGUCCUAAGCUGAGGCCGACAGGCGUAGGCGAUGGAUAACAGGUUGAUAUUCCUGUACCACCUAUAAUCGUUUUAAUCGAUGGGGGGACGCAGUAGGAUAGGCGAAGCGUGCGAUUGGAUUGCACGUCUAAGCAGUAAGGCUGAGUAUUAGGCAAAUCCGGUACUCGUUAAGGCUGAGCUGUGAUGGGGAGAAGACAUUGUGUCUUCGAGUCGUUGAUUUCACACUGCCGAGAAAAGCCUCUAGAUAGAAAAUAGGUGCCCGUACCGCAAACCGACACAGGUAGUCAAGAUGAGAAUUCUAAGGUGAGCGAGCGAACUCUCGUUAAGGAACUCGGCAAAAUGACCCCGUAACUUCGGGAGAAGGGGUGCUCUUUAGGGUUAACGCCCAGAAGAGCCGCAGUGAAUAGGCCCAAGCGACUGUUUAUCAAAAACACAGGUCUCUGCUAAACCGUAAGGUGAUGUAUAGGGGCUGACGCCUGCCCGGUGCUGGAAGGUUAAGAGGAGUGGUUAGCUUCUGCGAAGCUACGAAUCGAAGCCCCAGUAAACGGCGGCCGUAACUAUAACGGUCCUAAGGUAGCGAAAUUCCUUGUCGGGUAAGUUCCGACCCGCACGAAAGGCGUAACGAUUUGGGCACUGUCUCAACGAGAGACUCGGUGAAAUCAUAGUACCUGUGAAGAUGCAGGUUACCCGCGACAGGACGGAAAGACCCCGUGGAGCUUUACUGUAGCCUGAUAUUGAAAUUCGGCACAGCUUGUACAGGAUAGGUAGGAGCCUUUGAAACGUGAGCGCUAGCUUACGUGGAGGCGCUGGUGGGAUACUACCCUAGCUGUGUUGGCUUUCUAACCCGCACCACUUAUCGUGGUGGGAGACAGUGUCAGGCGGGCAGUUUGACUGGGGCGGUCGCCUCCUAAAAGGUAACGGAGGCGCUCAAAGGUUCCCUCAGAAUGGUUGGAAAUCAUUCAUAGAGUGUAAAGGCAUAAGGGAGCUUGACUGCGAGACCUACAAGUCGAGCAGGGUCGAAAGACGGACUUAGUGAUCCGGUGGUUCCGCAUGGAAGGGCCAUCGCUCAACGGAUAAAAGCUACCCCGGGGAUAACAGGCUUAUCUCCCCCAAGAGUUCACAUCGACGGGGAGGUUUGGCACCUCGAUGUCGGCUCAUCGCAUCCUGGGGCUGUAGUCGGUCCCAAGGGUUGGGCUGUUCGCCCAUUAAAGCGGUACGCGAGCUGGGUUCAGAACGUCGUGAGACAGUUCGGUCCCUAUCCGUCGUGGGCGUAGGAAAUUUGAGAGGAGCUGUCCUUAGUACGAGAGGACCGGGAUGGACAUACCUCUGGUGUACCAGUUGUCGUGCCAACGGCAUAGCUGGGUAGCUAUGUGUGGACGGGAUAAGUGCUGAAAGCAUCUAAGCAUGAAGCCCCCCUCAAGAUGAGAUUUCCCAACUUCGGUUAUAAGAUCCCUCAAAGAUGAUGAGGUUAAUAGGUUCGAGGUGGAAGCAUGGUGACAUGUGGAGCUGACGAAUACUAAUCGAUCGAAGACUUAAUCAA
rnacentral:rRNA from 1 species